rnacentral:rRNA from 1 species
AUUGAACGCUGGCGGCAGGCCUAACACAUGCAAGUCGAACGAGUGGCGGACGGGUGAGUAAUGUCUGGGAAACUGCCUGAUGGAGGGGGAUAACUACUGGAACAGUUAGCUACUACCGCAUACCCUCAGAUGUGCCCACGUGGGCUUAGCUUGUUGGUGGGGUAACGGCUCACCAAGGCGACGAUGCCUAGCUUGUCUGAGAGGAUGACCAGCCACACUGGGACUGAGACACGGUCCAGAAUCCUACGGGAGGCAGAAGUGGGGAAUAUUGCGUAAUGGGCGCAAGCCUGAUGCAGCCAUGCCGCGUGUAUGAAGAAGGCCUUCGGGUUGUAAAGUACUGUCGGCAGGGAGGCGGUACCCACAGAAGAAGCACCGGCUAACUCCGUGCCAGCAGCCGCGGUAAUAC